UUUGUUCGGUGGCUGAGUUGCAAGCGGUAGACUGUAGAUCUAUUAACGGAAUUAAGUUUCCCCAACAAAA
rnacentral:tRNA from 1 species